rnacentral:rRNA from 1 species
GGCUCUGAGGUGUGUACACAUCGCCCGAUCGCUCUCAUUAUAGAUUAUUCUAUUUUAUUACUUUAAUUUAGCUUCCAUUUAGAUGAGAUAAGUCGUAACAUAGUAGAUGUACUGGAAAGUGUAUCUAGGAAGAGUUUCC